rnacentral:rRNA from 1 species
AGAGUUUGAUCCUGGCUCAGGAUGAACGCUGGCGGCGUGCCUAAUACAUGCAAGUCGAGCGAACGGACGAGAAGCUUGCUUCUCUGAUGUUAGCGGCGGACGGGUGAGUAACACGUGGAUAACCUACCUAUAAGACUGGGAUAACUUCGGGAAACCGGAGCUAAUACCGGAUAAUAUUUUGAACCGCAUGGUUCAAAAGUGAAAGACGGUCUUGCUGUCACUUAUAGAUGGAUCCGCGCUGCAUUAGCUAGUUGGUAAGGUAACGGCUUACCAAGGCAACGAUGCAUAGCCGACCUGAGAGGGUGAUCGGCCACACUGGAACUGAGACACGGUCCAGACUCCUACGGGAGGCGAC